CUCCUCUUGGUGUAGUUGGUUCAUCACGUUCGACUGUAAUAGCUUCAUUGUUAUCGAAAGGGUAAGUUAUCGAUCUGAUCGACAACCUGCAACAUUCAGCAAACUAAUAAUGACAUUAGUCCCUGGUUCGAUUCCGGGAGAGGAGA